CGGCGCGGCCUCUCCCUCCGCGCAACCUACGUACCUCCCGGAGGUACGGCCGCGCCGUUUGCGUAACCGAGCUACGGGAAUACGGCGGGAAGGCGGAGGGCGGGCGAGCGAGCGCGGCGGCGACUUCGUGAGGGGAGAUGGCGUGGGGGAGCGGCUCCCUCACGGGCAUCGCCGUCCCUCGGGGCUUCCCGGGGCUGGCCCCGGGCCCGGGAGGGGCUGGCCCCGGGCCCUCGGGCAGCGGGGAGCCAGUGCUGGGGCGAGGAGCCUGCAGCGAGCGCCGCCCUGGGGCUGCUGCAGGCCACUGAGCGGAAGCCCCUGUGUGGGCAUCGUGCCCGCAGGCUCCUCUGUGCGUGGCACUGCUUCACCCUCCCGUCCCUUGGGUUCUUCCUCACGGUGCCCCUUUUCCCCCUGUUGCCCAGCACCUUCGCGGGUCUGUGUGUUACGUUUCCACUCUGUCGGGUGGUGCCCGUUGCUGCUGUCCCCCAGCUCCUCUGCCCUGUCUCAGGCCAACGCCUCUGUCUAAACGGCUCGUGUCCUGCGAACCAGUCGCUGACCCGAAGCUCAUCACCGGCCCUGGUAUAUGUUCUUUCUUCCUCUGCACAGCUUUGGGUCUCGGCCUCUUUCCCGCCUUCUCCAGGAACAGGUACAGUUUCCACAUCAACAAAAUCGAAGCUGCUCAGGAGGAACCACAACUCCAUAAACUGCUGGUGUUCAAUCUCCAUGAACAGUUUUGUCAGUGGACUUGGAUGAGACUGCAAAGUCAGAGAAAGCAGCAGAGCUGGGAACAGCAAGCAGAUGCCCUGAGUCAGCCCAAGGAACUCCAGACAGACACACCAAUAUAACCAUCAGCACACUGAAACAGUCCAGUCUUUGAGAGGUCCUACAGAUUCCUCUGACAUUCCUGCUGCCCGAGAUGUUCAGCCCUGUUGGGAGACCCCUCCAUCCUCUUCCUGGUCAGGAAGGGGACACAACUGGGCCCUGGAAGACCAACUGGGUGGAAAGUGAAGGCAGGACUGGCUCUGAGAGUGGACGCCUGGUGAUACGGUUGAGAGUAAAUGUGGAUGAACAUCACUUCCCCUCUGCUGAUGGAGCAAUGAGGUUUCCUUGCCUCUCUCUGCCUGCUCUUCAACACCAAAUGGGUGAGUUUGCCUGCUUUCCUGUUUUUUUAAAUCAUUGUACCUGUAUUCCUUUCCAACUGCUGGGUCAGGGUUCCCAUAUCAUGU